rnacentral:rRNA from 1 species
GAAUUCGCCCUUAGAGUUUGAUCCUGGCUCAGGACGAACGCUGGCGGCGCGCCUAACACAUGCAAGUCGAACGAGCGAGAGAGAGCUUGCUUUCUCGAGCGAGUGGCGAACGGGUGAGUAACGCGUGAGGAACCUGCCUCAAAGAGGGGGACAACAGUUGGAAACGACUGCUAAUACCGCAUAAGCCCACGACCCGGCAUCGGGUAGAGGGAAAAGGAGCAAUCCGCUUUGAGAUGGCCUCGCGUCCGAUUAGCUAGUUGGUGAGGUAACGGCCCACCAAGGCGACGAUCGGUAGCCGGACUGAGAGGUUGAACGGCCACAUUGGGACUGAGACACGGCCCAGACUCCUACGGGAGGCAGCAGUGGGGAAUAUUGCACAAUGGGGGAAACCCUGAUGCAGCGACGCCGCGUGGAGGAAGAAGGUCUUCGGAUUGUAAACUCCUGUUGUUGAGGAAGAUAAUGACGGUACUCAACAAGGAAGUGACGGCUAACUACGUGCCAGCAGCCGCGGUAAAACGUAGGUCACAAGCGUUGUCCGGAAUUACUGGGUGUAAAGGGAGCGCAGGCGGGAAGGCAAGUUGGAAGUGAAAUCCAUGGGCUCAACCCAUGAACUGCUUUCAAAACUGUUUUUCUUGAGUAGUGCAGAGGUAGGCGGAAUUCCCGGUGUAGCGGUGGAAUGCGUAGAUAUCGGGAGGAACACCAGUGGCGAAGGCGGCCUACUGGGCACCAACUGACGCUGAGGCUCGAAAGUGUGGGUAGCAAACAGGAUUAGAUACCCUGGUAGUCCACACUGUAAACGAUGAUUACUAGGUGUUGGAGGAUUGACCCCUUCAGUGCCGCAGUUAAC